rnacentral:lncRNA from 1 species
UAAGGCCGAUGAUUUAUUAGAGAAUGUUCGAGUCGGUCGUAACGAGGCCGUCGCCGCUCGGUUUUACAAGCGCCCCUCCCUCGGCGGGGUUAUCCGGGGGGCUGUCGCCCGCCGCGCUAUCCGAUCCCUGGCUGCUACCAGGGCGGCUGCCGAGCCCCGCGGGUUUCCCAGCUGCCUUCCCAGGACCUGGAAACUUAAACUUCGCAAAUGGGGCGUCUCCCUACUCGGUGGCGGAGGAAAUAGCGGCCUGGAGAGCCAUCCGACCCGGGAAACCGGCGCGUCUUUCCAGGCGACCCGCCGACUGCGGAGGCUGCGAGGAGCGGCCUGCUCAGACGAAAUGGGGAGGGUCUCACUAUGUUGCCCAGGCUAGACUUGAACUCCUGCACUCAAGCGAUCCUCCUGCCUCAGCCUCUUGAGUAGCUGGGACUACAGGUGUGUACUAUUGCACCCAGCCUUGGCCAGUCUUGAUCCACACUGUUGACAUCAUGACUUUAUCCUCUGGACCUGACUCUUCUGUUGUCCUCAGCCCUGCCGUGGUUGACUUCUUCUAACUGCAGGGAGCUAGAAGUCAGAGAAAUAUGUGAACUUCCUUUCUGUGCCAUGAUGUUCCAAAGAGGCACUGGGGCAAGACUGAGAGUUGUGGAACUCAGCAGACCCUCUUCAGUCAGCCUUCAUGGUAUGUUGUCUGGUAAACUGACUUCAGGAUAGAAGGUAUGGCACAAGCGCCUAACUGUUCAUAGGUGCUGGACAAAUGUUGAUCAAAUGAAUAAAUAAAUGAGGAGUGAAUAAAUCAAUAUAUUCCAAGGAUGCCACCAUAUAGUUACAGAGUUACUACCCACUGAAGUUGCAUUCCUAAGUGAAACUAUAAAUCAUUUUUAUAAUAAAGUAAAAGUUUAUCUGA